GGUGGCGAGUGGCGAACGGGUGAGUAAUGCAUCGGAACGUGCCCAGUAGUGGGGGAUAACUAGUCGAAAGAUUAGCUAAUACCGCAUACGACCUAUGGGUGAAAGCGGGGGACCUUUACCGGCCUCGCGCUAUUGGAGCGGCCGAUGUCUGAUUAGCUAGUUGGCGGGGUAAAAGCCCACCAAGGCGACGAUCAGUAGCUGGUCUGAGAGGACGACCAGCCACACUGGGACUGAGACACGGCCCAGACUCCUACGGGAGGCAGCAGUGGGGAAUAUUGGACAAUGGGCGCAAGCCUGAUCCAGCCAUGCCGCGUGGGUGAUGAAGGCCCUAGGG
rnacentral:rRNA from 1 species